ensembl:lncRNA
UUACCAGAGUGGAUGGAAGGCCCCAUCUCUGUUUGUUUGCAAUCAAAGAUAUUGGUCCAGGAGAAGAAAUCACCUAUAACUAUGGUGAUUCCAACUGGCCAUGGAGAAGCAAGAAAUCCAACAUGGUGGCAUCUCAGGCUGUGGAUGAGAAUGCAGCCAGUUCCUCUCCUAACGAAGCAACAAAGAAAUCCAACAUGGUGGCAUCUCAGGCUGUGGAUGAGAAUGCAGCCAGUUCCUCUCCUAACGACGCAACAAAGGUAAAUUGGAGUUUCAGUGUCAGAUUGUUUUAGUUGUAGACUGAGGUGCUAGUUAUUAGGCAGUAUUGAGGUAUGUGGGUCCUUGGUUAUCUUGACCAAGUAAGAUGCACGCAUUAGGAGGACUGAGAUUUGAAACAAGAAGUAUGAAACCCCAACCCUAAAUCUGGUUUGCAUAAAGACGUAGUUCUCGGCUUGGUUGAAAUGAACUCUGAUGUAGUUAGAUCGCAUAUUUGAAUUUCAGCUGAUCAAGGAGCAAGAAUGAAGCUUACUAUAGCAAGGAGCAUGUAAAUACAACCGAAACAAUCGCUAAACUCUUUCCUGUUAAUGCUAAGCACAUUUAUGUAACAUUGUUGUGUAAAGGCCAUCCGUUAUGUCUUGAUGGAUUCAUGACUUCAUGAUUUAAUUAUACUUUUUUACACUCCCAGUCAAAACUUUGGACACAUCUUCUCAUUUCAGAAAGAACAAAUUGUAAGUCUAAUCUUUUUUGGGGGUUGUGGGUCCACAAUGAAUUUUCUUUUCAUUGUGGUUUUGUAAUAUAUACCAUAAUAUAAAACCUAGAAGAACAAAUUGUUUUGAAAAUUGAUCUAUAUACAGCAGAUAUUUUUCCCUUUAAAUUUUGCAUUGCAAAAGUUACAAAAAUUGAUUUAAUAGUUUUAGUAACACUUGAACCUUUUUUUUUUUUUUUUUUUUUUUUUUUUCCGUCCUUAACUCCUUUUUAAAGAGGAACCAAAACAACUAUUUGGUUGUGGUAUUUUACAUCACAAAAGUAUGAAUUUUGUUUUUGAUUACACUGGUUUUUUUUUUUUGUUUUUUUUUUUUUACCAAACAGGACUGCGAUCAUGAUCUAGUCCCUGACGAAAUGUCAAGUUUAGAAAAAUGUUUUGCAUGUGGAGGACCUUUUUCGCCUCUGAAAUGGAGUGGUGUGAGAUGUGAAGUUUGCUACCAGUCCUGGCACAAAAGAUGUUAUGUUAGCCACAAGGUGAACCUCACUGAACCUCUUCCAGAGGUCUUUAGUGAAGAUAGUUCAAGUGAGGGGGCUUCAUCAGAAGAGGAAUAUGUGCCAGAUUCUAUAGCUGACUCAGACAGCUCAUGGGACAACAAAUCAGAGCCUUUAAAUAUAAGUUGCAAACAAGUACAGAACUCUGAGAUCUCCAGCAGUCAAUCUGCUUGCAAAACGAAAAGACCUCGCCUAGAAAGUUUUUUAGAGAGAGUAGGACAAAGAAUUUCAGAAGAUGCCGAAUCAAUAUCUGAAGAUGGAAUUGGC